UACUAGAAUGAACAAUGUCACAAAACAAUGGAAGAGGGAAUGCUAUCUCUAAGAGAAUAGCUAGAAUUCCGAAGAGAAGCCAUUAAGGUUGAGUUUGAUGAAUAGAAGUUUGCAAGAUGGUUAAGUGAGAUGAAGAAAACACACAUACAAACCAUGCAGGACAGAUAUGGAGGAAUAAAAAGAACAUAGCAUGGACAGAGCACGAGGCAAAUUUGGAAAGGAUGGAGUGCAGACUUUCUUAAGAUUGCAGUGACUAUAACCUCCAGGACCAUGCUGAAAAGAGCCAGCAAUGGGAAUCCUUUCCUGUUUCUCAUCUAGCACCAUUAACUUUAAUUAUGUUUAUUUUUUUCUUUGCUCACCAUUCUACUUGUACCUCAAAUAUUUCUGGGAUCAUUUUCCUCUCUCAAGUUUAUUUACUGAGUUUCGGUAGAAUAACAAAGACUAACAGAUGAUAUUAAAAGUAGAGGAAAGAAAAUCCAGCAAACUUAGAAAGGAAUGACCAUCAGAUUGACAUCUGUCCCAAGAGUGAUACAAAAACCAAAGGAUAUUGGAAUGAUAUCUUCAAAAUGUCCAGAAGAAACUUCUAGCAGAUUCAAAGUUCUGUAUCUCAGUGGAACUAUCUUUCAAAAGUAAGAAAAAAGACAAAGACAUUUCAAACCAAAACUGAAAAAAAUUACUAUAAACAGAGUCAAGAUAACGGCUGAACAUUUCUAUUAAUUAUUAAAAGUCAUACAUUUUCAGGUCCAGGAACCAAAAGAUCAUAAGCAACAUAAAUCAAAAUCGAUCCAAAACUUUCUCAUUCUUUCUAAUCAUUCUAGGUCCUAGAAGGGAGCACAUACAAGCCUUUUUCACUCUAAACUUCACGUCUCUUAAGAUCUCUUUAACUAUAUUUCAUCUCUUUGUCUCCCAUGCUACGUUUGUGUUAUUCUUUUAGAUCAAUUUUUCCAAGUCUAACCUUCUUUCUUCAGCUAGGCAUAACUUACUAUUUGAUCUAUCCACUGUGUUUUCAAUGUUAAUUAUAAAAACUUACAUUUCUAGAGUUUCUGUGUUUGCUCCCUUUCAAAUCUCACUAGCCAUUUUCAAGUCUUUUUUUCUUCUUGUCUCUUAUUUUCAUUUGUUUGCUAUUUCUUGAAGUAUAUCAAGAAUGGUUAUUUUGUAUUCUGUGUCUGAUAAUUCUGUAACUGCAAUUAUUGCAUAUCUGAUUUUUUUUUAAUUGUUGGCUUAGAGUAUUAUGGACCAUAUAGGUGGAGCUCAAGUUUAUAAUUAGGAAAUCUCAGGUGAGAUACAUAUUUUUUCCCAUUCUAUUUAGAUCCAAAGAUAAAACAUGUACAGAUGGUCACAAUCUCACAUUGUGUGAUGAGUAUCAUUCUUUCCAGAUCUUGCUUUUAGCAGAGCUUUCUCCUGUCUAAUGUUUCUCUGUACUCAGACUCCAGAUUUCCCUCUUGUUCCUCAUACAGAUGGGUUACUAAACCCAGGUCUGUCCAUGGUAAUAGACAGAUAGUCUUAGGGCCAAUACCACCUCCAGUUCUCUUUUAUGCCCACAGAUUGAAACUUUGUUUCUGGCCUCAGUUCAACCCUACAUUUAAGUUUAAAAAAUUUUAAAUACAGGUUUUUUUUAAAGGCUUUAUAUUUUUACUUAUUUAUUUUUUAAAUAUUUAUUUUUGAGAGA